AACCUUUGGAUAGCUAAGUUGGUAGAGCAUGAGACUCAAUUUCAGGGUUGUGGGUUCCAAACCCACAUUGGUCA